GAUGAAGAACGUAGCGAAAUGCGAUAAGUAGUGUGAAUUGCAGAAUUCAGUGAAUCAUCGAAUCUUUGAACGCACAUUGCGCCCCUUGGUAUUCCAUGGGGCAUGCCUGUUCGAGCGUCAUUUGUACCUUCAAGCUCUGCUUGGUGUUGGGUGAUUGUCUAUCUUUGUAGACUCGCCUUAAAGUCAUUGGCAGCCGGCAUAUUGGCCUGGGAGCGCAGCACAAGUCGCGCUUCUUGUCAUGAAUGUUGGCGUCCAGUAAGUCUACAUAUUUUGCUCUUGACCUCGGAUCAGGUAGGGAUACCCGCUGAACUUAAGCAUAUCAAUAAGCGGAGGA
rnacentral:misc_RNA from 1 species